rnacentral:lncRNA from 1 species
UUGGGCUACUGACAUGUGAUUCAUCAGCUGCAGAUUCAACCACUGCAGAGGAGUCUCAUCGCAGAACCGGGGCUGAACACAUCUUGUUGGUUCCAUCUAGUCUUGAUUUAGGCAGGGCCUGCGUCAGCCUGAGUAGGUUGCUGUGAUACUUGCAAUAAGCAGUUCAUCCACAGCACCCAGAUUGCGCUCUUUCACUAUCUAAACACUGGAUGAGACCAAGCGCCAUCAGUCCUUCUGGAGCCUCACAUGAGUUCACGGUUCCUUUUUCUAUAUGUUAUUUUUACUUUUCAGCUAACCUUCAGCUCUGAUUAACAUAUCUUUCCCUCCACUUAUUAUUUGGUACGUAGAUUCUCUGGUAAAUGAGAUGAACUUGCUUCAUACAGGCCCCUCCUACUAAUCUGAAAACCAACACACCUCGAGGGAGUGGACUAAUAUAUUGCGAAUAUAUAGCAGAAUGAAUUGCAGAAUAAAAGAUGAAUGGUUCGUUCCAACAACUAACUGAGCAGCUCAUGACUACUUGUAAAAGAAACUGGCAUGCAAUAUGUGUGCAUAUUGGAUUUGUAAUUGUAGGCAUCGCCAUUUAUGUAGACAGCAAACUCUUCAUAUAUCACACGUACUAUAUCGUCAGAGUGGUUCAAUUCAUGUAACUUGCCUCUAAGUAACAUUUCUAACAUCUGAAACCAGAAAAAUUGCAGAACAAUAAAUAGGAACUUGAAUCACUGGUUACCAACGGGAAAUUUAAUUAGACUGCUAGUGGUUCUAGUACUCGUGUGUUAUUAAGUAUUCCAUAUAAACAACACAGGUAAUAACCCCAUAUAAUCCUAGCUAUUGAUCUAAC